UAUACUGCAGUCGAGCGGAAGAUGGGAGCUUGCUCCCUGAUGUUAGCGGCGGACGGGUGAGUAACACGUGGGUAACCUGCCUGUAAGACUGGGAUAACUCCGGGAAACCGGGGCUAAUACCGGAUGGUUGUUUGAACCGCAUGGUUCAGACAUAAAAGGUGGCUUCGGCUACCACUUACAGAUGGACCCGCGGCGCAUUAGCUAGUUGGUGAGGUAACGGCUCACCAAGGCGACGAUGCGUAGCCGACCUGAGAGGGUGAUCGGCCACACUGGGACUGAGACACGGCCCAGACUCCUACGGGAGGCAGCAGUAGGGAAUCUUCCGCAAUGGACGAAAGUCUGACGGAGCAACGCCGCGUGAGUGAUGAAGGUUUUCGGAUCGUAAAGCUCUGUUGUUAGGGAAGAACAAGUGCCGUUCAAAUAGGGCGGCACCUUGACGGUACCUAACCAGAAAGCCACGGCUAACUACGUGCCAGCAGCCGCGGUAAUACGUAGGUGGCAAGCGUUGUCCGGAAUUAUUGGGCGUAAAGGGCUCGCAGGCGGUUUCUUAAGUCUGAUGUGAAAGCCCCCGGCUCAACCGGGGAGGGUCAUUGGAAACUGGGGAACUUGAGUGCAGAAAAGGAAAGUGGAAUUCCACGUGUAGCGGUGAAAUGCGUAGAGAUGUGGAGGAACACCAGUGGCGAAGGCGACUCUCUGGUCUGUAACUGACGCUGAGGAGCGAAAGCGUGGGGAGCGAACAGGAUUAGAUACCCUGGUAGUCCACGCCGUAAACGAUGAGUGCUAAGUGUUAGGGGGUUUCCGCCCCUUAGUGCUGCAGCUAACGCAUUAAGCACUCCGCCUGGGGAGUACGGUCGCAAGACUGAAACUCAAAGGAAUUGACGGGGGCCCGCACAAGCGGUGGAGCAUGUGGUUUAAUUCAAGCAACGCGAAGAACCUUACCAGCUUGACAUCCUCUGACAACCUAGAGAUAGGACUUCCCUUCGGGGGAGAGACAGGUGGGCAUGGUUCCCCACUCCCGUCCGGGAUGUUGGGUUAAUCCCCAACCACGCCACCUUGAUUAUUUGCCACCAUUAGUUGGACCCUAAGGA
rnacentral:rRNA from 1 species